UAGAGGCGGCAUUGGAGCGGACUAGCAAGAGUGAUUCUAUUCGAUUCGUUUGCGAGCGGCAUACAAACGUGCGUUUCCCUCGUAAUCGACAAUCUCGUUGGUUGGUUGGUCGUUGUUGGCAACGGUCGGCAUUUGAAGUAGUAAAAAAAAAAAUAAAAGUUGAAGAGAUGAAGAAGAUCUAAAAAAUAAAAUAAAAAAUCCAAAGUUGUUGAUAUUCGCAAGUUGGAAUGAAGAUUAUAUACAUACAUACAUACAUACAUGUGUACACGCAUGCAAAUAAAAAAGCAAAAGUUAUAAAUAAAACGAAUUAGUGCGGCAGUGAAAGAAAUUCCAUUAUUGAUAAAAAGGCGCGCGAAUUUCGGUUCGUUGACGUUUUUUUUGCUCUGAUUUUUGUGCUACUCAAAACGAAGGGUUGAAGAAAACUCCCACUGUGCCAUGCAAUUUAACAAAACAAAUUUCUAACACACAAAAUAUAAAUAAACUAAAUUCCACGCUUCAAGGCCAGUGUAAAGUAAGCCAGACGCUUACAAAAAAACAAAAAAACCUAAGGUAUAAGAUUACAA